CUUGUUCCUUAUGGAGGUGUAGAAAAUCUGUAGCAUGAUGUAAUGGAAUUAAGAAUGGGUCAAUGAAAUAUACAGCCCCUUUCUGGAAUGUACUUGUUCUGCCACAACCAUGGAUAUCCCGACCUUUCUGUGCCUUUCAGGGACAAGGGUCAUAGAGGAGUUUCAGACUCCCCCCCAAAACAAAACAACAACUGAACAAUAAACAACAGAAAAAUAACACAAAAAGAUGGGGGUAUACUCUUUCCCCUUUCCUUGUUUUCUCCUGCUACCAAAACAAACAACAAAAACUACAUUGUCUCAUUGGAUGAGGAAGCUAAAAUUUUGUAGCAGAUCUAUAAAAGAAAAGAAGUGGAAAUCUACUCAAGAACUACUAUAAAACACUGUAUACAAAACAACCACUUCGGUUCACAUUAAAAAGUGUUAUCUGUUUCUUUGAA